AGGACGAACGCUGGCGGCGUGCUUAACACAUGCAAGUCGAGCGGUAAGGCCUUUCGGGGUACACGAGCGGCGAACGGGUGAGUAACACGUGGGUGAUCUGCCCUGCACUUCGGGAUAAGCCUGGGAAACUGGGUCUAAUACCGGAUAUGACCUCAGGUUGCAUGACUUGGGGUGGAAAGAUUUAUCGGUGCAGGAUGGGCCCGCGGCCUAUCAGCUUGUUGGUGGGGUAAUGGCCUACCAAGGCGACGACGGGUAGCCUACCUGAGAGGGUGACCGGCCACACUGGGACUGAGACACGGCCCAGACUCCUACGGGAGGCAGCAGUGGGGAAUAUUGCACAAU
rnacentral:rRNA from 1 species